UGGGUCUUUAUAAUGCUGAUACAGUACACUAUAAUUCAGAGUCAAACUUGUUCUUUGUCGUGGAAGACACCCCCCUCCCACCACUCAAAUAAAUCUCCAAAAUAAAACUGUUGUUAGGGGAUUAAAAAUAGAUUUUGGAGGUGAAACAUUGUAGGGGUUUGGGGGUGUAUGUAGGUCAAACAGUGAAUUGGGCCACAAGAAUCCAGAUUAACCUUUACUCCCCGCUCUCCUCUGAUUUAUACAGCAGAGUGCAUGUAUGGGGGGGGGCUUUUUGAUUUCUAUGGUGACGGUUCGAGGCUGGAGCAGGAAAACAGCUGUGAGGAGAAAAGGGAGAGUCAGCAGGAGUGACGGAGACAGAAAUGGAAACAGAGAGCGACUCCUUUCGCCGCUUUUGCCGCCGCGCUUGUAAAUAGAGGCUAAAAAUAGACAGGAACAGGCAGAGCUCCUCAGACCGGCUGAGAGCGAAGGCUGAGGGAGGAACAAAAAGAGGCCGUCCUUCAGUCCAGCGGCGGUGUCAGCACACACAUGAUCCCGGCGGCGCUGCUCCAUGAUGAGGGGCAUGUGGGACACUUUCCGUCAAUAAAUCCUGAUCGACACGAGGCCCGGACGCGUGUUCGCGUGUUGACGCGGGAGUAGGAGUGACAGGAACCCAGAGAGGAAGCUGUCAUGGCUCCAAACCAGGGGUCCCCAAACUUUUUCUUAUGGAUGCCGGGAGACACCUGUCUUACCUGCCGGGGAGGGAGGCUGUUGCUGUGGCGCAGCGGGAGCAGAGCAGGACACCGGCGGACGCGCGGCGGCGCUUCCCGGAUGGAGGACGGACGUCCGCGGCUCCGAUCACGGAGUGAGAACAGGAGGGUUAGAUCCGCAGCCCGAGAUGCUGCUGCUGCUGCUGCUGAUGAUGAUGAUGGUGGUGGUGGUGGUGAAGAUGAUUUCCCUCCUGCAGAUGAGGAAGAUGAUGAGGAUGAGGAGGUGUUCGCUGGGAAGAAGUUGAGGAAGUACGGCGGCGCGCGCGGCUCUGUCCACUUCCUGCCCGGAUCCUGCCUUAUGAGGCAGAGAGAUGCUGCGUUACCGACGUGCGCGGGGAUGCGAGAUGAGGGGGUGGUGCGUGCGUGCGUGCGUGCGUGAGUGCGUGCGUGCGUGAGUGCGUUCGGAGCUUUUCUUUUCUUUUGGCUUCACUUUUG
rnacentral:lncRNA from 1 species